UAGCCCGGCGAAAGCCGGAUUAAUACCGCAUACGACCUGUGGGUGAAAGCGGGGGAUCGCAAGACCUCGCGCUAUUGGAGCGGCCGAUAUCAGAUUAGCUUGUUGGUGGGGUAAAAGCCUACCAAGGCGACGAUCUGUAGCUGGUCUGAGAGGACGACCAGCCACACUGGGACUGAGACACGGCCCAGACUCCUACGGGAGGCAGCAGUGGGGAAUUUUGGACAAUGGGCGCAAGCCUGAUCCAGCCAUGCCGCGUGCGGGAAGAAGGCCUUCGGGUUGUAAACCGCUUUUGUCAGGGAAGAAACGGCCAUCGCCAAUACCGGUGGCUAAUGACGGUACCUGAAGAAUAAGCACCGGCUAACUACGUGCCAGCAGCCGCGGUAAUACGUAGGGUGCAAGCGUUAAUCGGAAUUACUGGGCGUAAAGCGUGCGCAGGCGGUCAUGCAAGACAGAUGUGAAAUCCCCCGGGCUCAACCUGGGAACUGCAUUUUGUGACUGCA
rnacentral:rRNA from 1 species